CGUGUAGGCGGUCCGGUAAGUGAGAUGUGAAAUCCCUCGGCUCACCCGAGGACCUGCAUCUCAAACUGCCUGACUCGAGUACGGGAGAGGAUGUGGGAAUUCCUGGUGUAGCGGUGAAAUGCGUAGAUAUCAGGAGGAACACCGGUGGCGAAAGCGCACAUCUGGCCCGAUACUGACGCUGAGGCGCGAAAGCUAGGGAGCAAACG
rnacentral:rRNA from 1 species